rnacentral:lncRNA from 1 species
CCUAAUUCUGGAUCAGCAAGCGAGGGGGAAAGACCGGACCGCUACGAUCCACCCCCUCCCUGCCCCCACCGCCCAUCCUAAAGCACCUUAUAUCGCGGAAACCACUCAGCCUCCUCUUUCCUCCGAGAACACGCGGAGCAGCCCCUGAAAACGCUUUGGUCCUCUGCAGGUUUGAGCAGAGCUAGCAGCUCUUUCGCCUUUGGAUUUCUAGGGCUAUGCCUAUAUGAAAUUCUUUAUUUCAUCGAUCAUUUCGAUUUUCAUGCGAGAACUCUUCAGUCUUGCAGUUUGCAGGAUUCUAAACCAAGAAGGGGUGGAGAUUGGAGAAUGCGGUUCUGGCGUGUGGUCUGAGGGAGGGGUUAGAUGGGUAAGGGCGCGCGGGAUGCGCAAAUCGCUGAGACUGCACAGAGGACAAUCUGAGGACUCGCUUUCAAGACUCCAUCUCAGGAAAACAUUUCUCUCGUCCUGACUGCAUCUUCUCACCUUCCGAAGCCGGGAUUGAGUUGGGAACUCCCCUGUCGCCCCGCACAUUGCAGGGGCUCCCCGAGCUCGAUUCUAUAGGGGGAGCGCUCUGGGGUCUCCGCACAAAACCUGCUUUUGAGCCCUUUGGCUUUCUUCAGGCGAGCGCAGUCCGUCCAUCCCCCUGGCCCACCCAGCCGCAAGGGAUGCUGUGAAAAGAGCCGCUGCUUGCCGCCUCCGGCCUGCCGUCCAGAGGGCUCCGCCCGUAGAGGUCAACUCCCCUCAUUCUUCUUCUUUCCAUCUUGCCCUCCCUCCGCCGAGCCCAGACUCGGAUCUCCUCCUGACUCCCGCCGCAGUCAGAGAGAGCGCAUCUGCUGCGCUGCCCUUAAAUCUACGCCCAGAGCGGGCUCAGACCCGAUCUCUGCUCUCCAGAGCCGGAGGAAGCCCGAGCAAGCAGCCUUUUCUCUUCGCAGUAAAAUCAUAGCCAGACCAGAUGGGCCCCAGCUCUCCCGGGACUCGGCAGGCUUAUAUGGAGUAAAAUAAUGUAGAAUGCUGCAUCACCUCAGCGCCGUGAAUUUAGAAGUUCCAGCAUGUUGUGAAGCAGACACAUCUUUGCUAUGAACACUGUGACUCACUACAUCAGUGCUGGUAUAAUAAAAUGCUUCUAAUGAUGUAGCUGUUAAAUUUUCUAAAAUAAAGAUCAGUUUAUUUUGUGAUGGCACAAUGAAAGAGGUGUUUAAUUUUUUACUAGAUUUUAAAAUAAAGCUUAUAAAAAUAUUAAGUUAAAAUUAAAAAAUAUGAUUUUAUAAUUUGUUUUGUGUGUGUGAGGGGGGGCUAACUCUUGAUUACAUGUUAAAUCAACUUAAAUAUUUAACCAAGCUUGUCAAGUUCCAUAUAAGAUCAGUAUGUUUGUCUUCUGAACCCUGGUUUUGCACAGCAAGCAUUAGCAAUUCUUAAGAAAUUAAAUGAAGAAAAGAAUACUGUUAUGAUUCCUAAUAAUAACUGUUAUGUUAUGUUAUGUUAUGUUAUGUUAUGUUAUGUUAUUUUUAUAAACAUUCCUUUGGAAAUGUGAAAUAUUUAUCUUACAUAAUUUAAAUUUCUUCUUAAAUAAAUUCAUAUCUAUCUCAGGAAAUUAAAAA